AUUGAACGCUGGCGGCAGGCCUAACACCUGCAAGUCGAACGAGUGGCGGACGGGUGAGUAAUGUCUGGGAAACUGCCCGCUGGAGGGGGGUAACUACUGGAAACGGUAGCUAAUACCGCAUACCAUCGGAUGUGCCCAUAUGGGAUUAGCUAGUAGGUGGGGUAACGGCUCACCUAGGCGACGAUCCCUAGCUGGUCUGAGAGGAUUAUCAGCCACAUGGGAACUGAGACACGGUCCAGACUCCUACGUGAGGCAGCAGGGGGGAAUAGUGCACAAUGGGCGCAAGCCUGAUGCAGCCAUGCCGCGUGUAUGAAGAAGGCCUUAGGGUUGUAAAGUACUUGCAGCGAGGAGGCGUUACUCGCAGAAGAAGCACCGGCUAACUCCGGGCCAGCAGCCGCGGUAAUUC
rnacentral:rRNA from 1 species